UACAGAGGGUGCGAGCGUUAAUCGGAAUUACUGGGCGUAAAGCGCGCGUAGGCGGCUUUGCAAGUCGGGUGUGAAAUCCCCAGGCUUAACCUGGGAACUGCAUUCGAGACUGCAUUGCUAGAGUAUGGGAGAGGGAAGUGGAAUUUCCGGUGUAGCGGUGAAAUGCGUAGAUAUCGGAAGGAACAUCAGUGGCGAAAGCGGCUCACUGGCCCGAUACUGACGCUGAGGUGCGAAAGCGUGGGGAGCAAACAGG
rnacentral:rRNA from 1 species